AGAACGAACGCUGGCGGCAUGCCUAAUACAUGCAAGUCGAACGAACUCUUCGGAGUUAGUGGCGCACGGGUGCGUAACGCGUGGGAAUCUGCCCCUUGGUUCGGAAUAACAGUUGGAAACGACUGCUAAUACCGGAUGAUGACGAAAGUCCAAAGAUUUAUCGCCAAGGGAUGAGCCCGCGUAGGAUUAGCUAGUUGGUGAGGUAAAGGCUCACCAAGGCAACGAUCCUUAGCUGGUCUGAGAGGAUGAUCAGCCACACUGGGACUGAGACACGGCCCAGACUCCUACGGGAGGCAGCAGUAGGGAAUAUUGGACAAUGGGCGAAAGCCUGAUCCAGCAAUGCCGCGUGAGUGAUGAGGCCUUAGGUUGUAAAGCUCUUUUACCCGAGAUGAUAAUGACAGUAUCGGAAGAAUAAGCCCGGCUAACGUCCGUGACCAGCAGCCGAC
rnacentral:rRNA from 1 species